UACGUAGGGUGCAAGCGUUGUCCGGAAUUAUUGGGCGUAAAAGAGCUCGUAGGCGGUUUGUCACGUCGGAUGUGAAACCCUGAGGCUCAACCUCAGGCCUGCAUUCGAUACGGGCAGACUAGAAUUCGGCAGGGGGAGACUGGAAUUCCUGGUGUAGCGGUGAAAUGCGCAGAUAUCAGGAGGAACACCCGUGGCGAAAGCGGCUCUCUGGGACGGUACUGACGCUGAGACGCGAAAGCGUGGGGAGCAAACAGG
rnacentral:rRNA from 1 species